rnacentral:rRNA from 1 species
UACAGAGGUCCCAAGCGUUGUUCGGAUUCAUUGGGCGUAAAGGGUGCGUAGGCGGCGCGGUAAGUCGGGUGUGAAAUCUCGGAGCUUAACUCCGAACUGCAUUCGAUACUGCCGUGCUUGAGGACUGGAGAGGAGACUGGAAUUUACGGUGUAGCGGUGAAAUGCGUAGAUAUCGUAAGGAAGACCAGUGGCGAAGGCGGGUCUCUGGACAGUUCCUGACGCUGAGGCACGAAGGCCAGGGGAGCGAAACGGGAUUAGAACCGUACCGUG